rnacentral:rRNA from 1 species
UACGUAGGGUGCAAGCGUUGUCCGGAAUUAUUGGGCGUAAAGAGCUCGUAGGCGGUUUGUCGCGUCGAAUGUGAAAACCCGGGGCUCAACCCCUGGCCUGCAUUCGAUACGGGCAGACUAGAGUUCGGUAGGGGAGUCUGGAAUUCCUGGUGUAGCGGUGAAAUGCGCAGAUAUCAGGAGGAACACCGGUGGCGAAGGCGGGUCUCUGGGCCGUAACUGACGCUGAGGAGCGAAAGCGUGGGGAGCGAACAGG